rnacentral:rRNA from 1 species
UUAAGCGACUAAGCGUACACGGUGGAUGCCCUGGCAGUCAGAGGCGAUGAAGGACGUGCUAAUCUGCGAAAAGCGUCGGUAAGGUGAUAUGAACCGUUACAGCCGGCGAUGUCCGAAUGGGGAAACCCAGUGCAAUUCGUUGCACUAUCGUUAACUGAAUACAUAGGUUAACGAGGCGAACCGGGGGAACUGAAACAUCUAAGUACCCCGAGGAAAAGAAAUCAACCGAGAUUCCCCCAGUAGCGGCGAGCGAACGGGGAGCAGCCCAGAGUCUGAAUCAGCUUGUGUGUUAGUGGAACGGUCUGGAAAGUCCGACGGUACAGGGUGAUAGUCCCGUACACCAAAAUGCACAGGUUGUGAACUCGAAGAGUAGGGCGGGACACGUGGUAUCCUGUCUGAAUAUGGGGGGACCAUCCUCCAAGGCUAAAUACUCCUGACUGACCGAUAGUGAACCAGUACCGUGAGGGAAAGGCGAAAAGAACCCCGGCGAGGGGAGUGAAAAAGAACCUGAAACCGUGUACGUACAAGCAGUGGGAGCACCUUCGGGUGUGACUGCGUACCUUUUGUAUAAUGGGUCAGCGACUUAUAUUCUGUAGCAAGGUUAACCGUAUAGGGGAGCCGCAGGGAAACCGAGUCUUAACUGGGCGUUAAGUUGCAGGGUAUAGACCCGAAACCCGGUGAUCUAGCCAUGGGCAGGUUGAAGGUUGGGUAACACUAACUGGAGGACCGAACCGACUAAUGUUGAAAAAUUAGCGGAUGACUUGUGGCUGGGGGUGAAAGGCCAAUCAAACCGGGAGAUAGCUGGUUCUCCCCGAAAGCUAUUUAGGUAGCGCCUCGUGAACUCAUCUUCGGGGGUAGAGCACUGUUUCGGCUAGGGGGUCAUCCCGACUUACCAACCCGAUGCAAACUACGAAUACCGAAGAAUGUUAUCACGGGAGACACACGGCGGGUGCUAACGUCCGUCGUGAAGAGGGAAACAACCCAGACCGCCAGCUAAGGUCCCAAAGUCAUGGUUAAGUGGGAAACGAUGUGGGAAGGCACAGACAGCCAGGAUGUUGGCUUAGAAGCAGCCAUCAUUUAAAGAAAGCGUAAUAGCUCACUGGUCGAGUCGGCCUGCGCGGAAGAUGUAACGGGGCUAAACCAUGCACCGAAGCUGCGGCAGCGACACUAUGUGUUGUUGGGUAGGGGAGCGUUCUGUAAGCCUGCGAAGGUGUGCUGUGAGGCAUGCUGGAGGUAUCAGAAGUGCGAAUGCUGACAUAAGUAACGAUAAAGCGGGUGAAAAGCCCGCUCGCCGGAAGACCAAGGGUUCCUGUCCAACGUUAAUCGGGGCAGGGUGAGUCGACCCCUAAGGCGAGGCCGAAAGGCGUAGUCGAUGGGAAACAGGUUAAUAUUCCUGUACUUGGUGUUACUGCGAAGGGGGGACGGAGAAGGCUAUGUUAGCCGGGCGACGGUUGUCCCGGUUUAAGCAUGUAGGCUGGUUAUCCAGGCAAAUCCGGAUAAUCAAGGCUGAGGUGUGAUGACGAGGCACUACGGUGCUGAAGUAACAAAUGCCCUGCUUCCAGGAAAAGCCUCUAAGCAUCAGGUAACAUUAAAUCGUACCCCAAACCGACACAGGUGGUCAGGUAGAGAAUACCAAGGCGCUUGAGAGAACUCGGGUGAAGGAACUAGGCAAAAUGGUGCCGUAACUUCGGGAGAAGGCACGCUGGUGUGUAGGUGAAGUCCCUGCGGAUGGAGCUGAGACCAGUCGAAGAUACCAGCUGGCUGCAACUGUUUAUUAAAAACACAGCACUGUGCAAACACGAAAGUGGACGUAUACGGUGUGACGCCUGCCCGGUGCCGGAAGGUUAAUUGAUGGGGUUAUCCGUAAGGAGAAGCUCUUGAUCGAAGCCCCGGUAAACGGCGGCCGUAACUAUAACGGUCCUAAGGUAGCGAAAUUCCUUGUCGGGUAAGUUCCGACCUGCACGAAUGGCGUAAUGAUGGCCAGGCUGUCUCCACCCGAGACUCAGUGAAAUUGAACUCGCUGUGAAGAUGCAGUGUACCCGCGGCAAGACGGAAAGACCCCGUGAACCUUUACUAUAGCUUGACACUGAACAUUGAGCCUUGAUGUGUAGGAUAGGUGGGAGGCUUUGAAGCGUGGACGCCAGUCUGCGUGGAGCCAACCUUGAAAUACCACCCUUUAAUGUUUGAUGUUCUAACGUUGGCCCCUGACCGGGGUUGCGGACAGUGUCUGGUGGGUAGUUUGACUGGGGCGGUCUCCUCCCAAAGCGUAACGGAGGAGCACGAAGGUUAGCUAAUCCUGGUCGGACAUCAGGAGGUUAGUGCAAUGGCAUAAGCUAGCUUGACUGCGAGCGUGACGGCGCGAGCAGGUGCGAAAGCAGGUCAUAGUGAUCCGGUGGUUCUGAAUGGAAGGGCCAUCGCUCAACGGAUAAAAGGUACUCCGGGGAUAACAGGCUGAUACCGCCCAAGAGUUCAUAUCGACGGCGGUGUUUGGCACCUCGAUGUCGGCUCAUCACAUCCUGGGGCUGAAGUAGGUCCCAAGGGUAUGGCUGUUCGCCAUUUAAAGUGGUACGCGAGCUGGGUUUAGAACGUCGUGAGACAGUUCGGUCCCUAUCUGCCGUGGGCGCUGGAGAAUUGAGGGGGGCUGCUCCUAGUACGAGAGGACCGGAGUGGACGCAUCACUGGUGUUCGGGUUGUCAUGCCAAUGGCACUGCCCGGUAGCUAAAUGCGGAAGAGAUAAGUGCUGAAAGCAUCUAAGCACGAAACUUGCCCCGAGAUGAGUUCUCCCUGAGACUUUAAGUCUCCUGAAGGAACGUUGAAGACGACGACGUUGAUAGGCCGGGUGUGUAAGCGCAGCGAUGCGUUGAGCUAACCGGUACUAAUGAACCGUGAGGCUUAACCUU